AUGACUAGGCUGUUUUCUCUGUGUACCUGGAAUGUCCGUGGACUCGGCGAUGCAUGCAAGUGCCGUGAUGUCCGUGCUAAUUUCGAGGCCAUGCAACCCUCCUUUGUUGCGAUCCAAGAAACCAAACUUGAGCACCCCCCUACUGCUAAAACGGAAAUGUUCCUCCCCCCCUCUCUGCGUAAUUCUCUCUACAUCGACUCGGUUGGCGCUUCGGGAGGGGUCUGUUCAGCCUGGAACGCAGAUGUUUUCUCCCUUUCUCACCACGUUGCCACCUCUCACGCCCUCUCCGUGGACCUCUCUCUUUGCCAAGAUGGCUCUCCCCUUCGGAUCACCAACGUGUAUGCCCCCUGCGUCCACAGUGCCAAAGAAACCUUUCUCGCCGAGCUGGCCGGCCACGCCCCCCUUCCCCCGUCCCUUGGGCUAUCUUAG
rnacentral:rRNA from 1 species